GACGAAAUAGCUCAGUGUGCGUUAGACUGAAGGUCUAAAGAUUCCUGGUUCAAACCCGGGUUUGGGCA